GACGAACGCUGGCGGCGUGCCUAAUACAUGCAAGUAGAACGCACAGUUUAUACCGUAGCUUGCUACACCAUAGACUGUGAGUUGCGAACGGGUGAGUAACGCGUAGGUAACCUGCCUGGUAGCGGGGGAUAACUAUUGGAAACGAUAGCUAAUACCGCAUAAUAUUAAUUAUUGCAUGAUAAUUAAUUGAAAGGUGCAAUUGCACCACUACCAGAUGGACCUGCGUUGUAUUAGCUAGUAGGUGAGGUAACGGCUCACCUAGGCGACGAUACAUAGCAGACCUGAGAGGGUGAUCGGCCACACUGGGAAUGAGACACGGCCCAGACUCCUACGGGAGGCAGCAGUAGGGAAUCUUCGGCAAUGGACGAAAGUCUGACCGAGCAACGCCGCGUGAGUGAAGAAGGUUUUCGGAUCGUAAAGCUCUGUUGUAAGAGAAGAACGGGUGUGAGAGUGGAAAGUUCACACUGUGACGGUAUCUUACCAGAAAGGGACGGCUAACUACGUG
rnacentral:rRNA from 1 species